AACGAACGCUGGCGGCAGGCCUAACACAUGCAAGUCGAACGUGAAGCCACCUUCGGGUGGUGGAAAGUGGCAGACGGGUGAGUAACGCGUGGGAACGUGCCUUUCGGUUCGGGAUAACCCAGGGAAACUUGGGCUAAUACCGGAUACGCCCUCCGGGGGAAAGAUUCAUUGCCGAAAGAUCGGCCCGCGUCGGAUUAGCUAGUUGGUGGGGUAAAAGCCUACCAAGGCGACGAUCCGUAGCUGGUCUGAGAGGACGACCAGCCACACUGGGACUGGGACACGGCCCAGACUCCUACGGGAGGCAGCAGUGGGGAAUAUUGGACAAUGGGCGCAAGCCUGAUCCAGCCAUGCCGCGUGGGUGAAGAAGGCCCUAGGGUUGUAAACCCCUUUCAGCGGGGAAGAUAAUGACGGUACCCGCAGAAGAAGCCCCGGCUAACUCCGUGCCAGCCGCCGCGGUAA
rnacentral:rRNA from 1 species